AGCACAAAUGAUGAAUAUUUAUGGGACUUAAUACAGAGGAACCUGUGAUGAAAUAUUUAACUGAUGUGC